rnacentral:rRNA from 15 species
CCUGGCGGCCAUAGCGCGGUGGACCCACCUGAACCCAUGCCGAACUCAGAAGUGAAACGCCGUAGCGCCGAUGGUAGUGUGGGGUCUCCCCAUGCGAGAGUAGGACACUGCCAGGC